UUUUUAUUGAAUGAUGACCGUCACAUGUCAUAUUCUGAUUGGAUGUCAACUCCAUGAAAGAUGAAAUACGUUGUUAUUUUCAUUAACCAAUCAGAACAUGACACGUGACAGUCAUCAUCC
rfam:Glycine soja cultivar W05 scaffold2141_7, whole genome shotgun sequence.